rnacentral:rRNA from 1 species
UACAGAGGUCUCAAGCGUUGUUCGGAUUCACUGGGCGUAAAGGGUGCGUAGGUGGUAAGGCAAGUCAGGUGUGAAAUCUCCGGGCUCAACCCGGAAAUGGCAUUCGAAACUACCUUGCUAGAGGGUUUGAGGGGGGACUGGAAUACUUGGUGUAGCAGUGAAAUGCGUAGAUAUCCGGAGGAACACCGGUGGCGAAGGCGGCUUCCUGGACCGACACUGACGCUGAGGCGCGAAAGCUAGGGGAGCAAACGGG